GGGGAAUCUUGCGCAAUGGGCGAAAGCCUGACGCAGCGAUGCCGCGUGCGGGAUGAAGGCCCUCGGGUUGUAAACCGCUUUCAGCAGGGACGAAAUUGACGGUACCUGCAGAAGAAGCCCCGGCCAACUACGUGCCAGCAGCCGCGGUAAUACGUAGGGGGCGAGCGUUGUCCGGAUUUAUUGGGCGUAAAGAGCUCGUAGGCGGUUUGGUAAGUCGGGUGUGAAAUCUCCAGGCUCAACCUGGAGAGGUCACCCGAGACUGCCAUGACUAGAGUCCGGUAGGGGUGUGUGGAAUUCCUGGUGGAGCGGUGAAAUGCGCAGAUAUCAGGAGGAACACCCGUAGCGAAGGCGGCACACUGGGCCGGUACUGACGCUGAGGAGCGAAAGCGUGGGGAGCAAA
rnacentral:rRNA from 1 species